rnacentral:rRNA from 1 species
UACGAAGGGGGCGAGCGUUGUUCGGAAUUACUGGGCGUAAAGGGCGCGCAGGCGGCCUUAGAAGUCAGAUGUGAAAGCCCCGGGCUCAACCUGGGAAUGGCAUUUGAUACUCUGAGGCUGGAGUACGGGAGAGGAGAGUGGAAUUCCCAGUGUAGAGGUGAAAUUCGUAGAUAUUGGGAAGAACACCGGUGGCGAAGGCGGCUCUCUGGACCGUAACUGACGCUGAGGCGCGGAAAGCGUGGGGAGCAAACAGG